rnacentral:rRNA from 1 species
UACGAAGGGGCUAGCGUUGCUCGGAAUCACUGGGCGUAAAGCGCACGUAGGCGGCUUGUUAAGUCAGGGUGAAAUCCUGGAGCUCAACUCCAGAACUGCCUUUGAUACUGGCGAGCUUGAGUUCGGGAGAGGUGAGUGGAACUGCGAGUGUAGAGGUGAAAUUCGUAGAUAUUAGGAAGAACACCAGUGGCGAAGGCGGCUUACUGGUCCGGUACUGACGCUGAGGUGCGAAAGCGUGGGGAGCAAACAGGG